rnacentral:ncRNA from 1 species
AUGUUGAUUUUGUGUCCUGCAACUUUACUGAAUUAAUUUAUUAGUUCUAAUAGUUGUUUUGUGGGAGUCUUUAGGGUUUUCUAUAUAUUAAAGAAAUGAGAGUUCGCGAAGGCCGGCAGCGGAUGUUGACGCGAUGUGAUUUCUGUCCAGUGCUCUGAAUGUCAAAGUGAAGAAAUUCAAUGAAGCACGGGUAAAUGGCGGGAGUAACUAUGAUUUUCUUAAGGUAGCCAAAUGCCUCAUCAUCUAAUUAGUGACGUGCAUGAAUGGAUGAACGAGAUUCCCACUGUCCCUACCUAAUAUCCAGCAAAACCACAGCCAAGGGAACAGGUUUGG